GUUGCAGCGUCUCCUCGAAGAGCCUUCAAGUGGAUCCCUUUUCCGUGCUCCUUGGAGUGUCUUUCUAAGGGGAAUACAUGGGUCCAUCCAGGAGUGUCUGCUCUGCUGUCUUCUAGCACCGGCCACACGGGUCCAGCCCGCGUGUUCCUCCACCAACUUACAUCAGCGCUGGCAGGAGAGGGAAAAGAGUCGACUUUGGAGAUAGUUCGCCACCUGUUAGUUGUGCGGUGAUGAACAAGACUUAACAUCUAGCCCAGUUUGAUAAUAGAACUGAGAUGGCAUUCCCUUCCAAGAGAAGCUUCAUGACGAUUCAGCUCAUCUUCCAUUGUGAUUCUCGGCAGUAUGAAAUGGAGACAUAUUAGCUGCAGCUCUGGGU